rnacentral:rRNA from 1 species
CCGGGGGGAGCUACCAUGCAGUCGAGCGAGAACUUCGGUUCUAGCGGCGGACGGGUUAGUAACGCGUGGGAACGUGCCCUUCACUACGGAAUAGUCCCGGGAAACUGGGUUUAAUACCGUAUACGCCCUUCGGGGGAAAGAAUUUCGGUGAAGGAUCGGCCCGCGUUAGAUUAGAUAGUUGGUGGGGUAACGGCCUACCAAGUCUACGAUCUAUAGCUGGUUUUAGAGGAUGAUCAGCAACACUGGGACUGAGACACGGCCCAGACUCCUACGGGAGGCAGCAGUGGGGAAUCUUAGACAAUGGGCGCAAGCCUGAUCUAGCCAUGCCGCGUGAGUGAUGAAGGCCUUAGGGUCGUAAAGCUCUUUCGCCAGGGAUGAUAAUGACAGUACCUGGUAAAGAAACCCCGGCUAACUCCGUGCCAGCAGCCGCGGUAAUACGGAGGGGGUUAGCGUUGUUCGGAAUUACUGGGCGUAAAGCGCGCGUAGGCGGAUUGGAAAGUUGGGGGUGAAAUCCCAGGGCUCAACCCUGGAACUGCCUCCAAAACUAUCAGUCUAGAGUUCGAGAGAGGUGAGUGGAACUCCGAGUGUAGAGGUGAAAUUCGUAGAUAUUCGGAAGAACACCAGUGGCGAAGGCGGCUCACUGGCUCGAUACUGACGCUGAGGUGCGAAAGUGUGGGGAGCAAACAGGAUUAGAUACCCUGGUAGUCCAC